CCCAAGUGCCACUCUUAACGGGGUGGCUUUUCAGAAGUGUAAAAAGCUUCUGGAAUAAGGGCUGGGCAAGACCGGUGCCAGCCGCCGCGGUAACACCGGCAGCUCAAGUGGUAGCCGCUUUUAUUGGGCCUAAAGCGUCGUAGCCGGUUUGAUAAGUCU
rnacentral:rRNA from 1 species